CGGGCUUAAAUGUAGUCUGACAGGCGUGGAAACAUGCUUUUCUUCGGACAGAUUACAAGGUGCUGCAUGGUUGUCGUCAGCUCGUGCCGUGAGGUGUCAGGUUAAGUCCUAUAACGAGCGCAACCCUGUUGUUAGUUGCCAGCGAGUAAUGUCGGGAACUCUAGCAAGACUGCCGGUGCAAACCGUGAGGAAGGUGGGGAUGACGUCAAAUCAUCACGGCCCUUACGUCCUGGGCCACACACGUGCUACAAUGGCCAGUACAGAGAGCAGCCACUUGGCGACAAGGAGCGAAUCUAUAAAGCUGGUCACAGUUCGGAUUGGAGUCUGCAACUCGACUCUAUGAAGCUGGAAUCGCUAGUAAUCGGAUAUCAGCCAUGAUCCGGUGAAUACGUUCCCGGGCCUUGUACACACCGCCCGUCAAGCCAUGGAAGCUGGGGGUACCUGAAGUCGGUGACCGCAAGGAGCUGCCUAGGGUAAAACUAGUAACUGGGGCUAAGUCGUAACAAGGUAGGCGUAGUGCU
rnacentral:rRNA from 1 species